rnacentral:rRNA from 1 species
GUAGUCUCGCACAGAUGCAUAUCAAUAAGCGGAGGAAAAGAAACUAACAAGGAUUCCCUUAGUAACGGCGAGUGAAGCGGGAAGAGCUCAAAUUUGAAAUCUUCAAGGUUUUACCUUGACGAAUUGUAGUUUAAAGAAGUGUUUUCUGUUGAAGUUUUGGUAAAAGUUCUUUGGAAUAGGACAUCAUAGGGGGUGAGAAUCCCGUAUUUGACCAUUAUUUUCAGCUGUGUGGUACACUUUCAAAGAGUCGGAUUGUUUGGGAAUGCAGUCCAAAAUGGGUGGUAAAUUUCAUCUAAAGCUAAAUAUUGGCGAGAGACCGAUAGCGAACAAGUACCGUGAGGGAAAGAUGAAAAGAACUUUGAAAAGAGAGUUAAAUAGUACGUGAAAUUGUCAAAAGGGAAGCGUUUAACACCAGUGUUGUUUUCUGAAAAUCAACCUCUGUUAGCUUUAUGCAUGUUUGUUUAGACCUAAUCAGCUAUCUUGCAUGUUCUAUUGUUUGCAGUGGUGCACUUUUCAGUUUACAGGUCAACAUCGGUUUUUUUUACCGUAAAAAAGUUAAAGAAAGGUAGCUCAUGGCUCCGGUCGUGAGUGUUAUAGUCUUUUUCCUAUGCGGUAGGAGAGACUGAGGUCUGCAGUGUAGGCUAUUUGGCUAGAUACUCAGGUGCUAUGUGAUACCAUUUCAUAAACAACUUGUUGAUUAUGUUUUGUCUAUUGCAUACUCGCUUGUACUAUCAUACCUACGCUUAGGAUGUUGAAGAUGUAGCACAUCAU